rnacentral:tRNA from 2 species
GCUGAAAUAGCUCAGUAGGUAGAGCAACUGACUUGUAAUCAGUGGGUCGCCGGUUCAAUUCCGGCUUUCAGCUCCA